GCGAGGAUAGCUUAGUUGGAACAGUGUCAGACUAAAGAUCUGAAGGUCACGUGUUUGAUCCAUGCUCACUGCA
rnacentral:tRNA from 1 species